UACGAAGGGGGCUAGCGUUGUCCGGAAUCAUUGGGCGUAAAGAGCGUGUAGGCGGUUCAGUAAGUCUGCUGUGAAAGUCCAAGGCUCAACCUUGGAAAGCCGGUGGAUACUGUGAGGCUAGAGUACGGAAGAGGCGAGUGGAAUUCCUGGUGUAGGGGUGGAAUGCGCAGAUAUCAGGAGGAACACCAAUAGCGAAGGCAGCUCGCUGGGACGGUACUGACACUGAGGCGCGAAAGCGUGGGGAGAGAACAGG
rnacentral:rRNA from 1 species